rfam:Oryza glaberrima chromosome 5 Oglab05_0126_17, whole genome shotgun sequence.
AAUAAGUGCAGUUUUGCACUAUUCACGUUCAAAGUUUGACCGUUCAUUUUAUUUGAAAAUUUUUUAUGAUUAGUAUUUUUAUUGCUAUGAGAUGAUAAAACAUGAAUAGUAAUUUAUGUGUGACUAAAUAUUUUUAAAUUUUUCAUAUAAGACAGACAGUCAAACGUUGUGCACAGAUAUCUACGGCUAUACUUAUU